UACAGGGGGUGCAAACGUUGCUCGGAAUUAUUGGGCGUAAAGCGCGCGUAGGCGGCUACUUAAGUCGGAUGUGAAAGCCCCUGGCUCAACUGGGGAAGUGCACCCGAAACUGAGUGGCUUGAGUGCGAAAGAGGGUCGCGGAAUUCCCGGUGUAGAGGUGAAAUUCGUAGAUAUCGGGAGGAACACCGGUGGCGAAGGCGGCGACCUGGGUAGAUACUGACGCUGAGGUGCGAAAGCGUGGGGAGCAAACAGG
rnacentral:rRNA from 1 species